rnacentral:misc_RNA from 1 species
AGCCUUUAAGCAUGGUAAUGCAAACACAAAGAGGCAUGCUCAGGAUGCUCUUACAAAUCUAAAACAGUUAUCAGGUGUUAGUGGAAGGAGUUCAAGCCAAGCUCAUUCAAGAAGAUAGUCAACAACUGUAACUGAAUGUUUGUAAAUAAUAUUAUAUGAUAAAUGAAGCCAAAAUCUGGUUCCACAGAUAAGGAGAUAAGGAGAGGUCCCACGAUCUGGUCUUAGAGGGGACAUGCAAAACAAGAAAGACGAUGUCGGAGACUUUUGGGGCGUGACGAAGCACAAGCAGGGAUCCUCUGAUGCCCAAGUUAAAGAGAAUUGGCGAGACCAGAGUUUAGGGAAAAA